rnacentral:rRNA from 1 species
CCUACGGGCGGCAGCAGUGAGGAAUAUUGGUCAAUGGACGCAAGUCUGAACCAGCCAUGCCGCGUGCAGGAAGACGGCUCUAUGAGUUGUAAACUGCUUUUGUACGAGGGUAAACGCAGAUACGCGUAUCUGUCUGAAAGUAUCGUACGAAUAAGGAUCGGCUAACUCCGUGCCAGCAGCCGCGGUAAUACGGAGGAUUCAAGCGUUAUCCAGAUUUAUUGGGUUUAAAGGGUGCGUAGGCGGUCGGAUAAGUUAGAGGUGAAAUCCCGAGGCUCAACUUCGGAAUUGCCUCUGAUACUGUUCGGCGAGAGAGUAGUUGCGGUAGGCGGAAUGUAUGGUGUAGCGGUGAAAUGCUUAGAGAUCAUACAGAACACCGAUUGCGAAGGCAGCUUACCAAGCUACUUCUGACGUUGAGGCACGAAAGCGUGGGGAGCAAACAGGAUUAGAGACCCUUGUAGUC